rnacentral:rRNA from 1 species
AUGGGUGAUGGCGUGCCUUUUGUAGAAUGAACCGGCGAGUUACGUUUAACAUGCAAGGUUAAGCCGAGAAGGUGGAGCCGCAGCGAAAGCGAGUCUGAAUAGGGCGACUUAGUAUGUGGACGUAGACCCGAAACCGUGUGAUCUACCCCUGUCCAGGGUGAAGGUGCGGUAACACGCACUGGAGGCCCGAACCCACGUACGUUGAAAAGUGCGGGGAUGAGGUGGGGGUAGCGGAGAAAUUCCAAUCGAACUCGGAGAUAGCUGGUUCUCCCCGAAAUAGCUUUAGGGCUAGCCUCGGUAUAAGAGUAGUGGAGGUAGAGCACUGAUUGGGUGCGGGGUCCGCAAGGAUUACCAAGCUCAGUCAAACUCCGAAUGCCAUAUACUUAUUGCCGGGAGUCAGACAGUGAGUGCUAAGAUCCAUUGUCAAAAGGGAAACAGCCCAGACCAUCAGCUAAGGUCCCCAAGUGUGUGUUAAGUGGGAAAGGAUGUGGAGUUGCACAGACAACCAGGAUGUUGGCUUAGAAGCAGCCACCAUUGAAAGAGUGCGUAAUAGCUCACUGGUCGAGUGACUCUGCGCCGAAAAUGUAACGGGGCUAAACACACCACCGAAGCUAUGGCUAGAUGCUUUGCAUCUGGGGUAGGGGAGCGUUGUGUAGGGGUUGAAGGUGUACUGAAAAGAGCGCUGGACACUACACAAGUGAGAAUGCCGGUAUGAGUAACGAAAAGAUCAGUGAGAAUCUGAUCCGCCGAAAGCCCAAGGUUUCCUGAGGAAGGCUCGUCCGCUCAGGGUAAGUCGGGACCUAAGGCGAGGCCGAAAGGCGUAGUCGAAGGACAACAGUUUGAAAUUACUGUACCACCGUAAUCCGCUAUGAGCGAUGGGGUGACGCAGGAGGGUAGUGACGCGGACUGAUGGAUGUCCGUCUAAGCAGUGAGGCUGGUGUGUAGGCAAAUCCGCACAUCGUUAAGGCUGGGCUGUGAUGGGGAGCGAAAAUUAUAGUAGCGAAGGUCAUGAUCUCACACUGCCAAGAAAAGCCUCUAGCCAGGAGAAGGUGCCCGUACCGCAAACCGACACAGGUAGGCGAGAAGAGAAUUCUAAGGCGCGCGGAAGAACUCUCGUUAAGGAACUCGGCAAAAUGACCCCGUAACUUCGGGAGAAGGGGUGCCCCGGUAGUGUGAAUAGCACGAGGGGGCCGCAGUGAAAAGGCCCAAGCGACUGUUUAGCAAAAACACAGGUCUGUGCGAAGCCGCAAGGCGAAGUAUACGGGCUGACGCCUGCCCGGUGCUGGAAGGUUAAGGGGAGUGGUUAGGGGUAACCCGAAGCUAUGAACCGAAGCCCCAGUAAACGGCGGCCGUAACUAUAACGGUCCUAAGGUAGCGAAAUUCCUUGUCAGGUAAAUUCUGACCCGCACGAAUGGCGUAACGACUUGGGCGCUGUCUCAACGAGAGAUCCGGUGAAAUUUUAAUACCUGUGAAGAUGCAGGUUACCCGCGACAAGACGGAAAGACCCCAUGGAGCUUUACUGCAGCUUGAUAUUGAAUUUGGGUACGAUCUGUACAGGAUAGGUGGGAGCCGUAGAAAUCGGAGCGCAAGCUUCGGUGGAGGCGCCGUUGGGAUACCACCCUGAUCGUAUCUAGGUUCUAACCUAGUGCCCUUAUCGGGUACGGGGACCGUGUCAGGCGGGCAGUUUGACUGGGGCGGUCGCCUCCUAAAGAGUAACGGAGGCGUUCCAAGGUUCCCUCAGAAUGGUUGGAAAUCAUUCGCAGAGUGCAAAGGCAUAAGGGAGCUUGACUGCGAGACCUACAAGUCGAGCAGGGACGAAAGUCGGACUUAGUGAUCCGGUGGUACCGCAUGGAAGGGCCAUCGCUCAACGGAUAAAAGCUACCCUGGGGAUAACAGGCUUAUCUCCCCCAAGAGUCCACAUCGACGGGGAGGUUUGGCACCUCGAUGUCGGCUCAUCGCAUCCUGGGGCUGAAGUAGGUCCCAAGGGUUGGGCUGUUCGCCCAUUAAAGCGGUACGCGAGCUGGGUUCAGAACGUCGUGAGACAGUUCGGUCCCUAUCUGUCGUGGGCGCAGGAAAUUUGAGAGGAGCUGUCCUUAGUACGAGAGGACCGGGAUGGACGUACCGCUGGUGCACCAGUUGUUCCGCCAGGAGCAUGGCUGGGUAGCUACGUACGGACGGGAUAAGCGCUGAAAGCAUCUAAGCGUGAAGCCCCCCUCAAGAUGAGAUUUCCCAAUUAGUAAGACCCCUUGAAGACGACGAGGUAGAUAGGUUGGAGGUGGAAGUGCAGUAAUGCAUGGAGCUGACCAAUACUAAUCGGUCGAGGGCUUAUCCUAU